AGAGUUUGAUCCUGGCUCAGGACGAACGCUGGCGGCAUGCCUAAUACAUGCAAGUCGAACGCUGAAGCACUCUGCUUGCAGAGUGCGGAUGAGUGGCGAACGGGUGAGUAACACGUGGGAAAUCUGCCUAGGAGUGGGGGAUAACAUUCGGAAACGGAUGCUAAUACCGCAUAUCUUUUUGAACCGCAUGGUUCUUAAACGAAAGACGGCUUCGGCUGUCGCUCUUAGAUGAUCCCGCGGCGUAUUAGUUAGUUGGUGGGGUAAAGGCCUACCAAGACCAUGAUACGUAGCCGACCUGAGAGGGUGAUCGGCCACACUGGGACUGAGACACGGCCCAGACUCCUACGGGAGGCAGCAGUAGGGAAUCUUCCACAAUGGGUGAAAACCUGAUGGAGCAAUGCCGCGUGAAUGAAGAAGGUCUUCGGAUCGUAAAGUUCUGUUAUUAGAGAAGAACAAGUCAAGGAGUAACUGUCUUGACUUUGACGGUACCUAACCAGAAAGUCACGGCUAACUACGUGCCAGCAGCCGCGGUAGUACGUAGGUGACAAGCGUUGUCCGGAAUUAUUGGGCGUAAAGGGAGCGCAGGCGGUUGGAAUAGUCUGAUGUGAAAGCCCCCGGCUUACCCGUGGAAGGUCAUUGGAAACUGUCCAACUUGAAUACAGAAAAGGUAAGUGGAUUUCCCAGUGUAGCGGGGAAAAUGCGUAAAAUAUUUGGGAGGAACCCCCAGUGGCGAAAGGCGACUUUACUGGGUUGGUAAUUGAA
rnacentral:rRNA from 1 species